UACGUAGGGUGCGAGCGUUAAUCGGAAUUACUGGGCGUAAAGCGUGCGCAGGCGGUUUUGUAAGUCAGAUGUGAAAUCCCCGGGCUUAACCUGGGAAUUGCAUUCGAUACUGCUUGGCUAGAGUUUGGUAGAGGAUGGCGGAAUUCCGGGUGUAGCGGUGAAAUGCGUAGAUAUCCGGAGGAACAUCAGUGGCGAAGGCGGCCAUCUGGACCAAAACUGACGCUGAGGUGCGAAAGCGUGGGUAGCAAACAGG
rnacentral:rRNA from 1 species